ACGCUCGACACCUACGGGAGGUAGCAGUGGGGAAUAUUGCACAAUGGGGGAAACCCUGAUGCAGCGACGCCGCGUGAGUGAAGAAGUAUUUCGGUAUGUAAAGCUCUAUCAGCAGGGAAGAAAAUGACGGUACCUGACUAAGAAGCCCCGGCUAACUACGUGCCAGCAGCCGAGGUAAUCUGAGCGGGCUGGCAAGGC
rnacentral:rRNA from 1 species